rnacentral:rRNA from 1 species
GGCGGCGCGCUUUACACAUGCAAGUCGAGCGAGAACCAGGACUUCGGUCUUGGGGACAGCGGCGAACGGGUGAGUAACACGUGAGUAAUCUGCCCUCGACACUGGGAUAGCCCGGGGAAACCCGGAUUAAUACCGGAUAGCCCGCCUGCUCUUCGGAGCGGACGGAAAAGGUAGCUUUGGCCUCUGGUCGAGGAUGAGCUCGCGGCGGAUUAGCUAGUUGGCGGGGUAAUAGCCCACCAAGGCGACGAUCCGUAGCUGGUCUGAGAGGACGAUCAGCCACACUGGGACUGAGACACGGCCCAGACUCCUACGGGAGGCAGCAGUGGGGCAUCUUGCGCAAUGGGCGAAAGCCUGACGCAGCGACGCCGCGUGCGGGAAGAAGGCCUUCGGGUUGUAAACCGCUUUCAGGAGGGACGAAGCCACUCGGGUUAAUAGCCCAGAGGGUGACGGUACCUCCAGAAGAAGCCCCGGCUAACUACGUGCCAGCAGCCGCGGUAAUACGUANGGGGCAAGCGUUGUCCGGAUUUAUUGGGCGUAAAGA